AUUAGAAAAUGAUAAACAAACAUGAUGAUUUGGUGUUCACGCGGCUGUGUGAGAUGUACCUCUCUUAAACCUUGUUACAACAUUGGCAUAUUACCCUUCUGAUG